GACGAACGCUGGCGGCGUACUUAACACAUGCAAGUCGAACGGAAAGGCCCUGCUUUUGUGGGGUGCUCGAGUGGCGAACGGGUGAGUAACACGUGAGUAACCUGCCCUUGACUUUGGGAUAACUUCAGGAAACUGGGGCUAAUACCGGAUAGGAGCUCCUGCUGCAUGGUGGGGGUUGGAAAGUUUCGGCGGUUGGGGAUGGACUCGCGGCUUAUCAGCUUGUUGGUGGGGUAGUGGCUUACCAAGGCUUUGACGGGUAGCCGGCCUGAGAGGGUGACCGGCCACAUUGGGACUGAGAUACGGCCCAGACUCCUACGGGAGGCAGCAGUGGGGAAUAUUGCACAAUGGGCGGAAGCCUGAUGCAGCAACGCCGCGUGCGGGAUGACGGCCUUCGGGGUGUAAACCGCUUUCGCCGGUGACGAAGCGUGAGUGACGGUAAUGGGUAAAGAAGCACCGGCUAACUACGUG
rnacentral:rRNA from 1 species